GCCAGACAACCUUCUCUGCGCGAAUAGUUCCUUGCCUAUAAAACAAAGAUAUUGAGAAUAGCCAACAGAGAAGCUGGACACGAUCACACGAGGAUGGAGCGUUCUUCUUCCUUGCUCGCCCGCAGCAGCGUCGCCCUCCUGCUGCUGCUGGCUCUCCUACUCUGUUCCUUGGCUUGCUCGGCAGCGGUCCAAGUUUCUCUGGACGGAAACCGCGAGGGGCAACGACCUCCGGCGCCCUGGGCAUCAGGCGCGAGGUCGAAGUACUGCCCAGGCUGCAGCGACGACGGCGUCCCUCCGCCGCCACCGCCGCCGCCUGCAACUACGUCGGCACUUGCGCCUCACCGCAAGACCCUGGGGGUUGCUGCGAGGAUCCCUUCCACGAGAACCACCUAUACUAGAUGAUAUAUAUUGUUUUGUUGAUGAUGAUCAGACGGCUAAGAGUCAAAGCAGAGAAAUCUGAGCUAAGCCUUUACGACCCAGACAUGUUGCAUGUUCGCUCUCCAAAUUAAUUCUAAGCGGAAGUUCUACCGUGACCGACA